UACAGAGACUGCAAGCGUUAUUCGGAUUCACUGGGCGUAAAGCGUGCGCAGGCGGUUGUGUAAGACAGAUGUGAAAUCCCCGGGCUCAACCUGGGAACUGCAUUUGUGACUGCACAGCUGGAGUGCGGCAGAGGGGGAUGGAAUUCCGCGUGUAGCAGUGAAAUGCGUAGAUAUGCGGAGGAACACCGAUGGCGAAGGCAAUCCCCUGGGCCUGCACUGACGCUCAUGCACGAAAGCGUGGGGAGCAAACAGG
rnacentral:rRNA from 1 species